UACGGAGGGGGCUAGCGUUGUUCGGAAUUACUGGGCGUAAAGGGCGCGUAGGCGGUCCCGUAAGUUCCGCGUGAAAUCCCCCGGCUCAACCGGGGAAUGGCGCGGAAAACUGCGGGGCUUGAGUUCGGGAGAGGGAAGCGGAAUUCCGGGUGUAGCGGUGAAAUUCGUAGAUAUUCGGAAGAACACCAGUGGCGAAGGCGGCUCACUGGACGACUGUUGACGCUGAGGUGCGAAAGCGUGGGGAGCAAACAGG
rnacentral:rRNA from 1 species